rnacentral:rRNA from 1 species
UGCCCCACAGUUCCCCGCCCGGGAACAAGGAGCUGGUAUCAGGCACAUCUAUUGAGCCCAUGACACCUUGCUUAGCCACACCCUCAAGGGAACUCAGCAGUGAUAAACAUUAAGCCAUAAGUGAAAACUUGACUUAGUUAAAGCUAAGAGGGCCGGUAAAACUCGUGCCAGCCACCGCGGUUAUACGAGAGGCCCAAGUUGACAAACACCGGCGUAAAGAGUGGUUAAGUUAAAACUCACACUAAAGCCAAACAUCUUCAAGGCUGUUAUACGCAACCGAAGACAGGAAGUUCAACCACGAAAGUGGCUUUAUCGAAGCUGAACCCACGAAAGCUAAGGAACAAACUGGGAUUAGAUACCCCACUAUGCCUAGCCCUAAACAUUGAUAGUACUCUACACCCACUAUCCGCCCGGGAACUACGAGCAAUAGCUUAAAACCCAAAGGACUUGGCGGUGCUUUAGAUCCACCUAGAGGAGCCUGUUCUAGAACCGAUAACCCCCGUUCAACCUCACCCUUCCUUGUUUAACCCGCCUAUAUACCGCCGUCGUCAGCUUACCCUGUGAGGGUCUAAUAGUAAGCAAAACUGGUACAACCUAAAACGUCAGGUCGAGGUGUAGCGUAUGGAGGGGGAAGAAAUGGGCUACAUUCGCUACUACAGCGAACACGAAUGAUGUACUGAAACGUACGUCUGAAGGAGGAUUUAGCAGUAAGCAG